GUCUGGAUGGCUCAGUUGGUUAGAGCGUUGGUCUCAUAUGAUAUGAGUCUUCUGUCAACAGAAGAUGUUAUCCAAAGGUCGUGAGUUCGAGCCUCACUCCGGACA